CAGGGAAUUUUGUCCAAUGGGCGCAAGCCUGAGACAGUAACGCCGUGUGUGGGAUGAAGGCCCUAGGGUCGUAAACCACUGUCGGAAGGGAAGAACACUCCGGUCGCCAAUACCGACCGGGGCUGACGGUACCUUCAAAGGAAGCACCGGCUAACUCCGUGCCAGCAGCCGCGGUAAUACGGAGGGUGCGAGCGUUGUUCGGAAUUACUGGGCGUAAAGCGCGUGUAGGCGGUCGGGCAAGUCGAAUGUGAAAUCCCCGGGCUCAACCCGGGAACUGCAUCCGAAACUGCUCGGCUAGAGUCCCGGAGAGGAAGGCAGAAUUCCCAGUGUAGGGGUGAAAUCCGUAGAUAUUGGGAGGAAUACCAGUGGCGAAGGCGGCCUUCUGGACGGUGACUGACGCUGAGACGCGAAAGCGUGGGGAGCAAACAGGAUUAGAUACCCCCGUAGUCC
rnacentral:rRNA from 1 species